UACGUAGGAGGCGAGCGUUGUCCGGAAUUACUGGGCGUAAAGCGCGUGUAGGCGGUCUGAAUAGUCUGCUGUGAAAGCGCCUGGCUUAACCGGGCGAGGUCGGCGGAAACUCUCAGACUGGAGGCCGGUAGAGGGGGGUGGAAUUCCCGGUGUAGUGGUGAAAUGCGUAGAGAUCGGGAGGAACACCUGUGGCGAAGGCGGCCCCCUGGGCCGCGCCUGACGCUGAGACGCGAAGGCUAGGGGAGCGAACAGG
rnacentral:rRNA from 1 species